rnacentral:rRNA from 1 species
GCAGUGCGGCCGCCUACACAUGCAGUCGAACGAAGUAGCAAUACUUAGUGGCAGACGGGUGAGUAACAUGUAGGUAUCUGCCCUUUGGCCUGGAAUAACACGAGGAAACUUGUGCUAAUACCGGAUAAGUCUUUACGGAGAAAGCUUUAUGCACCAUUGGAUGAGCCUGCACUUGAUUAGUUUGUUGGUGGGGUAAUGGCCUACCAAGACUUUGAUCAAUAGCUGAUUUGAGAGGAUGAUCAGCCACAUUGGGACUGAGACACGGCCCAAACUCCUACGGGAGGCAGCAGUGGGGAAUCUUGCACAAUGGAGGAAACUCUGAUGCAGCGAUGCCGCGUGAGUGAAGAAGGCCUUUGGGUUGUAAAGCUCUUUCGUCGGGGAAGAAAAUGACUGUACCCGAAUAAGAAGGUCCGGCUAACUUCGUGCCAGCAGCCGCGGUAAUACGAAGGGACCUAGCGUAGUUCGGAAUUACUGGGCUUAAAGAGUUCGUAGGUGGUUGAAAAAGUUGGUGGUGAAAUCCCAGAGCUUAACUCUGGAACUGCCAUCAAAACUUUUCAGCUAGAGUUUGAUAGAGGAAAGCAGAAUUUCUAGUGUAGAGGUGAAAUUCGUAGAUAUCGGAAGGAACACCAAUAUGGCGAAGGCACUGUACUGGGCUUUACCUGACGCUAAGAGACGAAAGCUAAAGGAGUGAUUAGGAUUAGAUACCCUAGUAAUUUUAGCCGUAAACGAUGGAAACUCACUGCCGAGCCGGUAUUC